rnacentral:rRNA from 1 species
GAUGAACGCUAGCGGCAGGCUUAACACAUGCAAGUCGAGGGGUAACAGGGAGCUUGCUCCGCUGACGACCGGCGCACGGGUGCGUAACGCGUAUAGAAUCUACCUUACACUGAGGGAUAGCCUUUGGAAACGAAGAUUAAUACCUCAUAGUCUAUUUAGAUCUCAUUAUAUAAAUAUUAAAGGUUACGGCAGAAGAUGAGUAUGCGUCCUAUUAGCUUGUUGGUAAGGUAACGGCUUACCAAGGCGACGAUAGGUAGGGGCCCUGAGAGGGGGAUCCCCCACACUGGUACUGAGACACGGACCAGACUCCUACGGGAGGCAGCAGUGAGGAAUAUUGGACAAUGGAGGCAACUCUGAUCCAGCCAUGCCGCGUGCAGGAAGACUGCCCUAUGGGUUGUAAACUGCUUUUAUACGGGAAGAAACACUGCUACGUGUAGCAGCUUGACGGUACCGUAAGAAUAAGGAUCGGCUAACUCCGUGCCAGCAGCCGCGGUAAUACGGAGGAUCCAAGCGUUAUCCGGAAUCAUUGGGUGUAAAGGGUCCGUAGGUGGAUAAUUAAGUCAGAGGUGAAAUCUUGCAGCUCAACUGUAAAAUUGCCUUUGAUACUGGUUAUCUUGAGUUAUUAUGAAGUAGUUAGAAUAUGUAGUGUAGUGGUGAAAUGCAUAGAUAUUACAUAGAAUACCAAUUGCGAAGGCAGAUUACUAAUAAUAUACUGACACUGAUGGACGAAAGCGUGGGUAGCGAACAGGAUUAGAUACCCUGGUAGUCCACGCCGUAAACGAUGGAUACUAGCUGUUCGGACUUAUCCGAGUGGCUAAGCGAAAGUGAUAAGUAUCCCACCUGGGGAGUACGUUCGCAAGAACGAAACUCAAAGUAAUUGACGGGGGCCCGCACAAGCGGUGGAGCAUGUGGUUUAAUUCGAUGAUACGCGAGGAACCUUACCAGGGCUUAAAUGUAAGUUGCAUUAGUUAGAGAUAGCUAUUUCUUCGGACCACUUACAAGGUGCUGCAUGGUUGUCGUCAGCUCGUGCCGUGAGGUGUCAGGUUAAGUCCUAUAACGAGCGCAACCCCUGUUGUUAGUUGCCAGCGAGUUAAUGCUGAGGACUCUAACGAGACUGCCGGUGUAAACCGCGAGGAAGGUGGGGAUGACGUCAAAUCAGCACGGCCCUUAUGUCCAGGGCACACACGUGUUACAAUGGCCAGUACAAUGGGCAGCUACAUGGUGACAUGAUGCUAAUCUCCAAAACUGGUCUGAGUUCGGAUUGAAGUCUGCAACUCGACUUCAUGAAGUUGGAUUCGCUAGUAAUCGCGCAUCAGCCAUGGCGCGGUGAAUACGUUCCCGGGCCUUGUACACACCGCCCGUCAAGCCAUGGAAGCCGGGGGUACCUGAAGUCUGUAACCGUAAGGAGCGGCCUAGGGUAAAUCUGGUAACUA